UUUGACCUGAGGCAUCGUCGUUGUCUUGUGGCUAAGUACUUAAUCUUUGAUUAUGUCAAAGUCACCCCAUUCGCAGAUGUCCACGGUAUAAUUGGGGUUAAGCCACUUAGUCAUGAAGGCAAGUGAAUGCGCAACAAGGAAUCUCUAAUCCUCGGUAAGAGAGGAAGAAUACUCUAAGAUAUGAUUCGGGAAUCUUCGGCCGAAGUAUUGAGCGUAAUAAAGGAAAGCGUUCCUAUACGACUAAAUUGAAUCAUAUAAGAAGGAAUAAUCACAUUAGGGGUUUGACAUAAUACAUCCAUACCCUAGUAAUGUGAUUGAGAGUAUUGUUUUAGAGAAGGAUCGAAUUACAUUGUAAUUCCAACUG
rnacentral:lncRNA from 1 species